GACAUUUGAGUUGAGUGCUAAAAGACAAGGGUAUGGCCAUUCAAAGAUCAAAAGGGCAAUGAUCUGAAGAGUGCAAAGAUCCUGAGGUAGGUACAGACUUCGUGGUGUUCCUAGAAACAGAAAAAUGACCAGUGUGGCUAGAAUGUCUGAUGAACAAGGCUGGUAAGCAAACUUUAGUUUCAAAUACAUAGAAAUUAUGGGUGAAGAGUGAUAUGUAUACAUAUGUACAUGUUUAGAAAUAUAGCAGAAUGAAUGCAAGAAAGGGAAAUCUCCAGGGGAUGGAAAUAAGGAGAGUGGAAAUAAGCAAUGAGUGCAGCAAGUCCUGGGGAAGGUCGUAAUGUUUGAGAAGCAGGCAGUGACCGGGUCAUGUAGUGCCUUGUAGGCCAUGAUAAGAAAUCUGGAAUAUUUCUCAAGAGCGGUAGAAAGUCUUGGGAGUGUUUUAAGCUAGAAAAUGAGGUCAUGCACUUUAUAUGUUCAAAUCACUCUGGCAGCCUUGUAGAGAAUGGACUGUAGGCUCGUCCAGAGGCAGCUACCAUUGUCCAGAUGAGAAAGAGGAUCUCUCAGCUUGGAGUUGAGCUGUAGCAGUGGACAUGGUGAGAAACUACUGGAUCAGGGGCAUUUGGAGCUCAAGCCAGUGGGAGUUGCUCUUGGGUUGGGCAUGGUAAGGGAAAGAUGAUGAUCAAGUUCUUGAACAAUGGCUGGGGUGGGGGUGCCAUUAGUGUAGAUGAAGAGGAGGAGGGUAGACUGUGGGGGAGACUCGAAGAGCGCCCCAACAGAAGGGUCAACUUCUAAUGUCACUGACUUUAUCAGUCAGGAGUCAGGAAAAAAGAAGCCAUUCUGGGUAUUCCAAGUAUGAGGAGUUUUAAUAGGGGGAAUUAGAGGCUCAGAGAACACUUGGACAGGCUGAAGGAGUGAGACUCAGCCUGCACUGAAUCCCCCGCCCCCAGCAGCACCAGGACCUGAGGCUGGGCCUUGGCCCACAAAGCAGGCACCAUGGAAACACAGAGAGUGCAGAAGACCGGUGUCCUGGUCUCUACAAGUGGCCUAGUGAGUGGACCUGCCUCCUCAUUCAUCUGCAUCACGAGCAGGGAAAUACUUAAAACAGGUCACGACCCAACCUGUCAUUUAAGCUGAACGAGCAAGUGAGGCAAGAGCAAAUAUAAAAAGCCCAGGAACUGAGAACCCAUUUGUCCCCCAGUCAAUACAUCUAGAGGCACGUUUCCUGAUCUUGAGUUCUUUGGGAGGAAAAUUAGUGCAUGGGUCUGCACUGCCCCCUUCUGGUCACUCAGUUAUCAACAAGGCAGCGCCACGCUCCUUUCUAGAAAUCGCAGGAGCCCUUCCCAGCACGGAUUUCUCUGCCAACCCGACUUGUUUUUACACAAUGACUCAUAAAUGAGAUAAUGAAGGGCAAAAGCAAGUUAAAAUAUUUACUAUAAUUAACAUCGGGAUGAAAAACUUACAUCUUAAAUUGCCUGCGGAGAGACUGUGGCCUAGAGAGGAUUUUGCAUUGGGUUUAACCCUCUGCAUUUUUGGUUGGCAAGAAUACACUUACGUUUUUUUUCUCAUCAUACAGAAAGUUGAUUUCUGAAGACCACAGAAAUAUAACAAACAUAUGUUCAGUGUCAUUUAGGAGGUAGAUAUGUGCCUAAGACUUUUCACACUCAGUUGUAAACAUGAAUAUACGCAUUUAUUCAUUCAUUCGUUCCUCAGAUUUCCACUGAGGUGUCUGCUGUGUCCUGCCUCCCAUGCUGUGGGAGACACGGAGGUGAAAGAGGUAAGGACUCUGAUCUUGAGGAGCUUGCUGUUUGUAAGGAAGUAAAUAACUAAGGAGGCAAACCGGGAGAUGUGCCUUAACAGACACUAUUGGUACCCACCCAGGUCCAGAUGCUGCAGGUGUGGGCUGCUGAUGGUGUCCCUGCCCCCUUCUCCAGAUGGUCGCUGAGGGAUGCCCAAGGGGUGAUAUCACCCUCCCUCCAUACUUCCCAUCGGGUGAAGCCUGUGUCCAGGGACUGACGGAUGGAGGGAUAGAACAGCCCAGUCCCUUGCCUCUGUGUGGCACUGUGCAGGGGCAGGAGGGGGCUGAUUCUGCUGAAAUGACAUCUCUGCCCAUCCCUUUCCUCCGUCCCUCCCUGUUUUCCUCAUUCCACGACAGUUUCUCCCAAGGGCACCCCUCUCCGUAAGUUACUUGCUCAAGAUUCUCCGUUUCAGGCUCUGCUUCUACAGAAUCCAGAUAAAAACAUGUGCCAUUGAAAAGGCUCAGGAAAGACCAUAUCUAGUUUUAGGAUCAGGAAAAUGUGCCUGGAAGGUUAGGUUAGAUUUGAGCACUUUAGACAUGAUCGUUCAUUCCACAAACACAUAUUGACGGAGUGCCUUCUACGAACUGGGCAGGCUUCCAGGCCUUGGGGACCCAGCAGCAAAUAUGGUAAAGUCUUGUUAUCACUGGCAUUUGCAGUCUAGUGGGAAGGGAAAGAAACAAGAAAACAAGUGAUGGACAAUUAGAUAAAUUGAAGUAAGUUCUGUAGUGAAAAUAAAAUAUGCCAACUA